UGAUGUCUGAACCAAACCCAUCAAAUACACCGUCCUUAGUUCCUUACAACAUCGCCCUCGGCUCAGCUGCUCUUCCGUCGCGGCGUUGAUCGCCAGUCGCAGGUACCUCUGUGCCUCGUUGAGUCGCUUCUCGCUCACCGCCCGCCUCCGCAGUCCUCGACUCCUCGGAUCGCCCUCGUCCGCCGGUCGCCGCCCUCCGCAGUCCGCGCCUCGCAAACAGAUGAGGACUGAGGUGAAGCCCAGAUGAUACAGACAUCUUAGAGGUUCGUCACAUACACACUUCAAUUCGUACGUGAUAUCUCUACAGGCUCGUGGGUUUGAGUAACGACAGCCGACGUAUAGUUACGCAAGGAAAGAAUACGUUAUCGGCAAAAUCUUCAGAACUUUGGUGGCAAUGAUUCCGGUGAGCUUGCGUGUAGUAAAACUGAGAAGCAGAGUGAAUAUUUUUACAGAUGUUCGUGUCCACCAGCUUGGGGAUCAAGUCAUCAGGGCAAAGGUCUAUCUUUUGCUCUGUGGAACAAGAAGUAACCCUCACUUCAUAAGAGAACUCGGCCUUCGAAUUAAGCAAGUUGAGAAAACACUCCGAGAAGCUACAAAGGAUUCUGAUCUUCUAAGAACCAAAAACGACGGGAGAUAACUCGCAGGUAAACUCAAAAACGUCUGGCCGUUUGCCGUUGUCUCCACCUCCUUCCAGCUUGGUUUUCUGACUGCGUCCCCCGAUCAGCGCAUCUCUACAGUUUCGUGGGUUUUAGUGUUGAUGUACUUCCACGCGAUGAUAAUAUAUUAUCAUUGUAUAUUUGUAUUAUUAAUGUGCUGAUAACAUUAUCUUUCCUCAUCUAUUUUGUUUCUUUUACCUAAAAUUAUUGCUUUUAUUAUUCUUAGUGGUCACCUAGCAAUCAUCUUUCCAUUCACACUAUGUACCUAUAUAUAUUUGUGUUCCUUGUGCUGUUGUAGACGAAGAGAGAGAGACAUGAAAAUAUAUGUUUGUUUCUUUCA